rnacentral:rRNA from 1 species
GAUCAUGGCUCAGGACGAACGCUGGCGGCGCGCCUAACACAUGCAAGUCGAACGGAGCUGAGAGAAGCUUGCUUUCUUAGCUUAGUGGCGAACGGGUGAGUAACGCGUGAGUAACCUGCCCUGGAGUGGGGGACAACAGUUGGAAACGACUGCUAAUACCGCAUAAGCCCACGAUCCGGCAUCGGAUUGAGGGAAAAGGNUUUAUCGCUUCAGGAUGGACUCGCGUCCAAUUAGCUAG